UUUUUGAUUAAUAAUUUAAAGUCUAAUCUGCCCACUGAUAAUAUAUUAAAGGGCUGCAGUAUUUUGACUGUACAAAGGUAGCAUAAUCAUUAGUCUCUUAAUUGGUGACUUGUAUGAAGGAUUUGAUGAAAUAUAUACUGUCUCUUUUUAAUUUAUAAAAUUUAAUUUUUUAAUUAAAAAGCUAAAAUAUAUUUAAAAGACGAGAAGACCCUAUAGAGUUUUAUAUUUAUAUAAAUUAAAAUUUUUUAUAAGAUUUAAAAUUUCAAUUUAUAUAAAUAUUUUGUUGGGGUGAUAGAAAAAUUAAAAUAACUUUUUUUAUAGUUUUACAUUAAUAAAUGAAUAAAUGAUCCGUAAUUUACGAUUAUAAGAUAAAAUUACCUUAGGGAUAACAACAUAAUUUUUUUUUUUAGUUCAAAUAAGAAAAAAAGUUUGCGACCUCGAUGUUGGAUUAAGAUAAAAUUUAAAUGCAAAAGUUUAAAAUUUUUGAUCUGUUCGAUCAUUAAAAUCUUACA
rnacentral:rRNA from 1 species